rnacentral:piRNA from 1 species
UGUUCCUUCCAGAAGGCCUGAUACUC